CCCAUGACACUGCUGUAGGUGGAAUUACAAAAUUGUAUAAACAAGUGUGAAACGGUGGCCAAAAUUCUACAUAAAGUGGGCAGCAACAUUUAUAAACUCCCGCAAUAUCAAUCCAGGUAUGGGUAUGGAUCUGAAAAUGUAAAUUGAGUUACACCUUCGGCAGCCAAAGGGCUUUAACUUGCUAUGUGCAGGGUUUUAGAGCAAUACACUGCUCAUACAGACUAGAGGCA